AAUAUUGGACAAUGGGGGCAACUCUGAUCCAGCCAUGCCGCGUGUGUGAAGAAGGUCUNCGGAUUNUNAAGCACUUUAAGCUGGGNGGAAGGGCACUAGGUUAUUAUCAUGAAGUUCUGCCGUCACCAACCGAAUAACCCCCGGCUAACUCUGUGCCCGCAGCCGCGGUAAUACAGCGGGUGGAAGUAUUAAUUGGUAUUACUGGGCGUAAUGCGGGCGGUGGUGGUUCAGUAAGGAGGGUGUGAAAUCCCCGGGCUUAACCUGGGAGCUGCUUUCAUAACUGCUGAGCUAGAGUACGGUAGAGGGUAGUGGAAUUUCCUGUGUAGCGGUGAAAUGCGUAGAUAUAGGAAGGAACACCAGUGGCGAAGGCGACUACCUGGACUGAUACUGACACUGAGGUGCGAAAGCGUGGGGAGCAAAC
rnacentral:rRNA from 1 species